GCAGAAAAUUGGUGAGGGAUUUUCUGCACAAUGGUUAUUUGUCAGUAAAAAAGAAAAGUAUAUUCUAAAGAUUGAGCAACUCAGCCACUUGUUAUGAGUUUAUCCUAAGAAGAGAACUAAACCUAGAAACCCUUGAGUGGCCCAGCAACCGCAGCACGCAUAUCAAAGAAACUUCAAGAUGAAUGAGAUGGAGCUGAGUAUUAUUUAUGCUACAUAGCCCCCAUAUCUUAACAAGCAUACAGGAAGACCCUUGGGGAUUGUCAGAAUGCUGAAAGAAUUACUAAGAGAGUCCUUGAUUAUAUGUGUGUGAGCAAGCAACAGUGUGCGCAUGACCUUGCAAGGGAAGCAGAAUCUUUUACAAAAUUGAAUACUCAUUUUGCUAGCAUUUUGAAUACGUAAACAAUGGAGUUAAAGUUGAAUGAAUGAACCAAACAAGUUCGGCUCUGAUACAAAGUGAAAUGGCAGAUCAAAAGACAUGAGAGUUUCAUCAAUGUCAAUCCCAGCCAGAAAGUGCAAAAACAGGGGAACCUCAAGAAUCCUGAAGUAUUUUUUUAAUCUAUUGGCUUAGCCAUGAGAGGUCCUCUAAUCUCAAAUUAUUCCUUCUGAUUUUGAGUUCAUUUAGGUUUUUGGAUAUUUCAAUUUGUU
rnacentral:misc_RNA from 1 species